AUUGAACGCUGGCGGCGUGCUUAACACAUGCAAGUCGAACGGAGUGGCGAACGGGUGAGUAACACGUGGGUGAACUGCCCUGCACUUCGGGAUAAGCCUGGGAAACUGGGUCUAAUACCGGAUAGUGUGGGAUGGGUCCGCAGCCUAUCAGCUAGUUGGUGGGGUAAUGGCCUACCAAGGCGGCGACGGGUAGCCGGCCUGAGAGGGUGGACGGCCACAUUGGGACUGGGACACGGCCCAGACUCCUAGGGGAGGCAGAAGUGGGGAAGAUUGCACACUGGUCGGAAGCCUGAUGGAGCGACGCCGCGUGGGGGAUGACGGCCUUCGGGUUGUAAACUCCUUUCACCAUCGACGCGGUAUCUAACCAGAAAGCCACGGCUAACUACGUGCCAGCAGCCGCGGUAAUAC
rnacentral:rRNA from 1 species